GCCCGGGCUUCGGCCUGGUUAUUCAUAACCCUUUGUUGUCCGACUCUGUUGCCUCCGGGGCGACCCUGCCUUCGGGCGGGGGCUCCGGGUGGACACUUCAAACUCUUGCGUAACUUUGCAGUCUGAGUAAACUUAAUUAAUAAAUUAAAACUUUUAACAACGGAUCUCUUGGUUCUGGCAUCGAUGAAGAACGCAGCGAAAUGCGAUAAGUAAUGUGAAUUGCAGAAUUCAGUGAAUCAUCGAAUCUUUGAACGCACAUUGCGCCCCCUGGUAUUCCGGGGGGCAUGCCUGUUCGAGCGUCAUUUCACCACUCAAGCCUCGCUUGGUAUUGGGCAACGCGGUCCGCCGCGUGCCUCAAAUCGUCCGGCUGGGUCUUCUGUCCCCUAAGCGUUGUGGAAACUAUUCGCUAAAGGGUGUUCGGGAGGCUACGCCGUAAAACAACCCCAUUUCUAAGGUUGACCUCGGAUCAGGUAGGGAUACCCGCUGAACUUAAGCAUAUCAAUAAGCGG
rnacentral:rRNA from 1 species